CUCAAAAACCUAAACGUAAUCUUCAUCUUCCAUUUCUAAUUUUCUACCCGAUCUGAACACACAAGAGGCGCCUCCAUCUACAAAGUCGAAACUGAGCUCAUUCUCCUCCGCCAUAGCUGUGAGGCCGAGACACCAAACGAGCUCCGAUCGAGACGCCGCCUAGGGUCGAGACACCGAUCCUUCUCUUUCUCUCUUCACUGCACCUGCACGACGCUGCCGACGCCUCCUUCUUUCUCCCUCAUAGAUCGACGCACCGAGUGAGACAGCUCCCGAGACGGCGCCCAGCUCUGUCCCUCUCUCUCUCUCUCUCCCUCUCUCUCUCUUCACUUCACCUGCACGAAGCCUCCUCUCUCCCUCUCGGAUCGAGACGCCGCCCAGGACUGCUCUAUCCUUCUCUCUUUCUCUCUUCACUUCAUCUGCCAACUCGAAGCCAGAGAAUAGGAGAUCGUUGUUCUUCAGGUAUGGUUUUAGCAAAGAAGUUGUUGAGUGCCCAGGGAAAACUGUGGAAGCCAAUUGAUGAUGGCUGCAUUGCUGCUGGAUAGGAGACUGAAAAAAAUGGCUUGCUAAAUUGCUGCAUCUGAAUUAGGACUUUAGGACUUUAUAUUUCAUUGGAUAUUUGUAUUUGAAUUUGGACACUUUGAAUUCGAAUUUGCAGCUUGAACUUUGUAUCUUGAUAUUGUGUUUUGAUUCAAAUCUUCAACAGCUUGAAAUUUGCAACUAUA